rnacentral:rRNA from 1 species
UACGGGGGGGGCAAGCGUUGUUCGGAAUUACUGGGCGUAAAGGGCGCGUAGGCGGCCUGUUAAGUCGAACGUGAAAUCCCCGGGCUCAACCCGGGAACUGCGUCCGGUACUGGCAGGCUUGAAUCCGGGAGAGGGAUGUGGAAUUCCAGGUGUAGCGGUGGAAUGCGUAGAUAUCUGGAGGAACACCGGUGGCGAAGGCGGCAUCCUGGACCGGUAUUGACGCUGAGGCGCGAAAGCCAGGGGAGCAAACGGG